GAUGAACGCUGGCGGCGUGCCUAAUACAUGCAAGUCGAGCGAACGGACGAGAAGCUUGCUUCUCUGAUGUUAGCGGCGGACGGGUGAGUAACACGUGGAUAACCUACCUAUAAGACUGGGAUAAUUUCGGGAAACCGGAGCUAAUACCGGAUAAUAUUUUGAACCGCAUGGUUCAAAAGUGAAAGACGGUCUUGCUGUCACUUAUAGAUGGAUCCGCGCUGCAUUAGCUAGUUGGUAAGGUAACGGCUUACCAAGGCAACGAUGCAUAGCCGACCUGAGAGAGUGAUCGGCCACACUGGAACUGAGACACGGUCCAGACUCCUACGGGAGGCAGCAGUAGGGAAUCUUCCGCAAUGGGCGAAAGCCUGACGGAGCAACGCCGCGUGAGUGAUGAAGGUCUUCGGAUCGUAAAACUCUGUUAUUAGGGAAGAACAUGUGUGUAAGUAACUGUGCACAUCUUGACGGUACCUAAUCAGAAAGCCACGGCUAACUACGUG
rnacentral:rRNA from 1 species